AGAGUUUGAUCCUGGCUCAGGACGAACGCUGGCGGCGUGCUUAACACAUGCAAGUCGAGCGAGAAAGCACCUUCGGGUGUGAGUACAGCGGCGAACGGGUGAGUAACACGUGGGCAACCUGCCCCAAAGACCGGGACAACGUCUCGAAAGGGACGCUAAUACCGGAUGUGGUGCGAUCCGCUAAGCGGAUCACACUAAAUGGUAGCUUCGGCCUCCGCUUUGGGAUGGGCCCGCGCCGGAUUAGCUUGUUGGUGAGGUAACGGCUCACCAAGGCGACGAUCCGUAGCUGGUCUGAGAGGACGAUCAGCCACACUGGGACUGAGACACGGCCCAGACUCCUACGGGAGGCAGCAGUGGGGAAUCUUGCGCAAUGGGCGAAAGCCUGACGCAGCAACGCCGCGUGAGCGAAGACGGCCUUCGGGUUGUAAAGCUCUGUCAGGAGGGACGAAGCCACUCAGGUUAAUAGCCGAGAGGGUGACGGUACCUCCAGAGGAAGCCCCGGCUAACUACGUGCCAGCAGCCGCGGUAAUACGUAGGGGGCUAGCGUUGUCCGGAAUUAUUGGGCGUAAAGCGCGUGUAGGCGGCUUGCCAAGUCCGGUGUGAAAACUGAGGGCUCAACCCUCAGCCUGCACUGGAAACUGGCUUGCUAGAGUCCGGAAGAGGAGACUGGAAUUCCUGGUGUAGCGGUGAAAUGCGCAGAUAUCAGGAAGAACACCCGUGGCGAAGGCGGGUCUCUGGGACGGUACUGACGCUGAGACGCGAAAGCGUGGGGAGCGAACAGGAUUAGAUACCCUGGUGGUCCACGCCGUAAACGAUGGGCACUAGGUGUGGGAGGUGUCGACUCCUUCCGUGCCGAAGCUAACGCAUUAAGUGCCCCGCCUGGGGAGUACGGCCGCAAGGCUAAAACUCAAAGGAAUUGACGG
rnacentral:rRNA from 1 species